rnacentral:rRNA from 1 species
GAUGAACGCUGGCGGCGUGCCUAACACAUGCAAGUCGAGCGGAUGUAGCAAUACAUCAGCGGCAAACGGGUGAGUAACACGUAAGUAACCUACCUCGAAGACUGGAACAACUAGUCGAAAGAUUGGCUAAUUCCAGAUGUGUCCCGCGGAACACAUGUUCUGCAGGGUAAAUCCCGCAAGGGGCUUUGAGAUGGGCUUGCGGCCUAUCAGCUAGUUGGCGGGGUAACGGCCCACCAAAGGCUAAUGACGGGUAGCUGGUCUGAGAGGACGACCAGUCACAAGGGAACUGAGACACGGUCCCUACUCCUACGGGAGGCUG